GACGAGUGGCGAACGGGUGAGUAAUGCAUCGGAAUGUACCGUGUAAUGGGGGAUAGCUCGGCGAAAGCCGGAUUAAUACCGCAUACGCCCUGAGGGGGAAAGUGGGGGACCGAAAGGCCUCACGUUAUACGAGCAGCCGAUGUCUGAUUAGCUAGUUGGUGGGGUAAAGGCUCACCAAGGCUUCGAUCAGUAGCGGGUCUGAGAGGAUGAUCCGCCACACUGGGACUGAGACACGGCCCAGACUCCUACGGGAGGCAGCAGUGGGGAAUUUUGGACAAUGGGCGCAAGCCUGAUCCAGCCAUGCCGCGUGUCUGAAGAAGGCCUUCGGGUUGUAAAGGACUUUUGUCCGGGAGCAAAUCCCAGUGGUUAAUACCUACUGGGGCUGAGAGUACCGGAAGAAUAAGCACCGGCUAACUACGUGCCAGCAGCCGCGGUAAUACGUAGGGUGCAAGCGUUAAUCGGAAUUACUGGGCGUAAAGCGUGCGCAGGCGGUUGUGCAAGUCUGAUGUGAAAGCCCCGGGCUUAACCUGGGAACGGCAUUGGAGACUGCACGACUAGAGUGCGUCAGAGGGGGGUAGAAUUCCGCGUGUAGCAGUGAAAUGCGUAGAGAUGCGGAGGAAUACCGAUGGCGAAGGCAGCCCCCUGGGAUGACACUGACGCU
rnacentral:rRNA from 1 species